rfam:Pseudozyma antarctica T-34 DNA, contig: scaffold00026.
GGCCGGUUGGCCCAAUGGUAAGGCGUCUGACUACGACGUUCUGUUCUUUGUGAACAGCCGCUAAUCAGGAGAUUCUGGGUUCGAGCCCCAGGCUGGUCA